GUCGCGGCGGCCGGGAGGCCAGGCCGUAACCUCGUUUUUUGCCUUGUCUUAACCAAGGCGGCUGAGAAGCAGCAGGCGAGGCCGCGUGUGCCCUGUUUACUGUAGCACUGCAGUAACACCGAGACCAUUCGGCACAAAUGGACGAGAGCAGAUGGUGCCCUGCUGCACUGCAGGGCUGCACCAAGUGCUGGCUGGGCCACGGAAACUGGUAUGCAGUUCUUUUUAUUCUUGCUCUGGACGAUCUGAACAUCAUCAGCUGAGGCUGGUCUACUGGUACCCAAACCUGCAUGCAUCUUGCGUAACUGAAGGUGAAUCUGUCAAAUACAUUAAAUACGGUAACUGCAAGUUAGACCUACCGGAUCCUUGAUACCACCACCAUCCUUGCCCAGGCCUUCCCCCUUCUUCCAUCCCAUCUUCUCCAACAUUUUAUGUCCUUUAUUGCUGUUGCUGAUUUCACUUUGAAGAAAGUUUAAGAUAACUGAUAAGCAAGAGUUAAUACAAACAGUAUGCUCUCUACCCAAAUACCAAAAAAUGUUCAUGCUCUAGAAACCAGGACUCAACUAUGAUACUAUUCCUACUUCCACAAAGAGCUAUGCAGGAUACACUCGUGCUACAUUUUGCAAGUUCUUUCAUGAAUAUUACCAAAGUUAUUUCAAGCCUCUGGUCAAUACCAACAUAAAAGUCCUUCUGAACUACUUAAUUAUUUCUGGAAUUAACUUCUGGGUGGGAACUGACUGCACUAAGUAAAAGACAGUAUCGCUGCCUCACCACCAAAUCAUCCUAACACAUAUUUCAUUGUCUCAUACUUCCUUUUACUAACCUACAAGUUCAUUUUUUU